rnacentral:rRNA from 1 species
GACGAACGCUGGCGGCGUGCUUAACACAUGCAAGUCGAGCGGAAAGGCCCUUCGGGGUACUCGAGCGGGCGAACGGGUGAGUAACACGUGAGCAACCUACCCUUGACUUUGGGAUAACCCCGGGAAACCGGGGCUAAUACCGGGUAUGACAUGUCAUCGCAUGGUGGUGUGUGGAAAGUUUUGCGGUCAGGGAUGGGCUCGCGGCCUAUCAGCUUGUUGGUGGGGUGAUGGCCUACCAAGGCGACGACGGGUAGCCGGCCUGAGAGGGCGACCGGCCGACACUGGGACUGAGACACGGCCCAGACUCCUACGGGAGGCAGCAGUGGGGAAUAUUGCACAAUGGGCGGAAGCCUGAUGCAGCGACGCCGCGUGAGGGAUGAA